UGGUGGACAGGCGACGAGCGUUCUUUGGUAGCCGCUCCGGUAGAAUAGCAAGCUAUCAGUGGUACUCUGUUUGUUUGGAUCAGAGGAAGCUCACGCAGAGGUCGGAGAGGGUGAAUUCCGUGGAUCUGCAUACGACAUAGCCAUGGGGAAACAAUGGAUGGAUAGAUCAUCAAGGUUCAGGUCUUCAGA